rnacentral:lncRNA from 1 species
CCCCACGCCCCUCCCCACGCCCACCACGCUCUGCGCUCCUUCACGGCCCUCCCCGUCCUCCUUCAUGACCCUCCUCUUCCUCCUGGCGUCCUCCACACUCUGACCCUGCAGCCAUGCUGCCGGGCUAAAGCGGGUUUAAUUAAUGGCGCCUGAGGCCGGCUCCUGAGGGCUCCUGAGGCAGCUUGAAACCCAGCAAAAGCUCCCUGGCUGAUAAAAGUUCAGUGGCUAAACUGGAAAUACUGGGACCCGGGUAGGUAGAACUUGCAUUUUCAAAGCCACCUUUCCUCCAUCCCCUCCAUCUGGUCGGGCUGCUGGAACCCUCACAGUGGAGAACUCCCGGCUGAGGGGUCUACACUUUGGUCAUGCCUCAUAGAAGAACAGCCCCAGCCAUAGUAUUAACAGGAGGAAACAUCACAGCAGACAGCUCUAAUUCCUGGACUAUAGACAGGAAACGCAGAAGCCCGGUGGGAUGACUACCGCAGCAUGGCUUUUGCAGAUCGGUGCCAUGUCCACACCCGGGUUCCAAACCAGUGAACCCCAGGCUGCCAAGAAGCGGAACAUGUGAACUUAACCACUGCACCACCCAGCGGGCCCCCCUAACCACUUUCUCUGUGCUUUAUUUUCACUCCUGCCUUGACCGGUGCUGUCCAAUAGUAGCAUUAACACUCUAUAACAUGAAAUCAAAACUUUCUAGUGGCACGUUUAAGAAAAUAAAAACAAACAGCUGAACCUAAUUUUAAUAGUAUAUUUUAACCCAUUAUAACCAUGGUAUUAUUCGUGAUGCAAUCUAUAUAAAAAUUAAUAAUGAGAGAGUUUACAUUCUGGGGGUUUUUAUUGGUUCCACAAAUCCAGUUUG